rnacentral:tRNA from 1 species
AUCUAAAUAGCUUAAAUUAAAGCAUAAUAUUGAAGAUAUUAAGAUAAGUUUACUUUUUAGGUA